GCAAACAAAACUGCUAGGUGCAGUCGUCGCAUAUAGUCGCCGUGUAGUCGCCACGUCAUCAUCUAUUUUUUAUUUUUUGAAAAAAAAGAGCCAAAAACUUCAGAUCGAGCUGAUUCCCGCUUCUUGCUCCUUUGGUCUGCAACCUCGUCUUUGUGCUCACAGAAGGUUAGUGGCUUCGUGGUGCUCUGGCCAUAGGCGAUCUUCAGUCUCACAGAAAUUUCAUGGUGCUCUGGUCCAAAGCUUGCAGUGGUCUUCGAUCUCACAGAAGCUUGGGUUGUGGCGUUGUGGUGGUUUGGUCUGAAGCUUCGUGGCGUCGUCUUCUUCUCGAGGUCGUGUUCGGCUUUGUGGUGUCGUCUUCUACUCGAGCUCGUCCUUGGCACCGAGAUCUUCAAGUCUUGAAGUGGAUCUGUGCAGGUAUUUUUGUGGGUCUAGUCUUCGUUCGUGUGGGUCUUGAAGUGUCAUCUUCAUUUGUAUGGAUCUUUGAGAGGCCGUAAGAUAUUCGGAUGUGUCCUCUUCUUCGUGGAUCUCUAUUACGAACUCUUUGAAAGAGACACCAUCAGAUUUGGUAAUAGUAGGUAGGCCAGACUGUAAGAUAGAAAGGUUAUUGCUUCAGAGGCUGCUCUUCUACUUCCCUCCAAGUUCAGCUACAAAUUUGAAUAGGCUUUGGAUUUUUUAUUGCUGGCAAAAUCAAGAAAGGCAUCCAUUGAGCACCUUGAGAAAUUGCAUUUCAUCUCUCUAGAAGGCAACCUUUUGUUUUCAACUUGUGAAUCUAUCUGAAUCAUACCUCAGCUGUUGUAACCAGAAUGGAAUUUAGGUGAAGUCUUGUAUUAUAUUGGAAAAUGAUUAGAUUUCCUAUUCAUAUGUAAUGGGUUCUCGGAUACUGCUUAUUUAUAAUCAUACAUAGAGAUCAUGUAACUACCACCACAAGUGGAUCUUCAACUGAUGAUAAUGGGGUUAAGCCUUUUUGUAAUGGUGUUAAACCUUUUUGUAAUGAUGAUGCUUCAGGCAUACUAAGCAUCUGUUUAGUUUUAUGUACGUGAUGAGUGUGGAUGUGUUAUUUCUGUAAGCGACCUAA